rnacentral:rRNA from 1 species
UGGAGAGUUUGAUCCAGGAUCAGAUUGAACGCUGGCGGCAGGCCUAACACAUGCAAGUCGAGCGGUUGAGGUAGCUUGCUACCGAUGCAGCGGCGGACGGGUGAGUAAUACAUGGGAAUCUGCCUGGUAGUGGGGGACAACGUUUCGUAAGGAACGCUAAUACCGCAUACGCCCUACGGGGGAAAGGGCGGGAUCUUCGCACCUCUCGCUAUCAGAUGAGCCCAUGUCGGAUUAGCUACUUGGUGGGGUAAAGGCUCACCAUGGCGACGAUCCGUAACUGGUCUGAGACGAUGAUCAGUCACACUGGAACUGAGACACGGUCCAGACUCCUACGGGAGGCAGCAGUGGCGAAUAUUGGACAAUGGGCGCAAGCCUGAUCCAGCCAUGCCGCGUGUGUGAAGAAGGCCUUAGGGUUGUAAAGCACUAUCAGUGGGGAGAAAGGUAAUUCACAUAAUACGUGAGUAAAUUGAUGUUACCCACAGAAGAAGCACCGGCUAACUCCGUGCCUGCAGCCGCGGUA